AUACUUUGAACGACUAAGGCAAAGGACUAUGAGGCUCCAAAGCUUGGUUUCUUCAUGAAUUUGAGCUUCCAAAAGCUUUGCCAUGAACUAUAUACAGCUCUCCCUCAUUCUUAAAUUGCUUUGGUGAGCAAAAAGCUAUCAAAAACACCAAAACUUAACACAAUUUGAUUAGAAACGAUUGCAAGGGUCCCUAACAUGCCAAUUGAGUUAAA
rnacentral:lncRNA from 1 species